GUGGUCUGGGAUGAGAAGCCAGAAGUAUUUCUGAAGCCAAGCUGUGUUGCUGUCUGCUUUAAGAUAUAACAAACUAGACUUCAGAGUUUGUACCUUUAAGGCAAGCAUCUAAGUAAGGCAGCUGUGCUAGACUCUCAGCGUCAAACUUCUUGUCUCCGAGAGCUUUCUUGGCAGCUGCGAGUUCCUCAUACAAUAUUUGCUGAAACCGUUUAGCAUAGCAUCUUGUUUCAUCUUCAGCAGAGCAUCAAGCAGAUCUCUCUUGCCUUCCACCUGACCUUCGUAGCCUCCUCUCUCUUCCACCAUCAUCUUGAAAAUCUUUCUGAAGUACACCACGGUGUGCUUGGGCCAUAGUGAAAACCUGGAAUUGUUCAUACAAAACAUGAGAGUUGAUGCGGUACACCAGGUCAGCCACCUUGCUCUGGUACAACUCCUGCCAGCCUCGCAGCUUGGAACCCGUGAACAGCAUCGUCAGACGUCUGCGGACUGAGCUCCAUAGUGGGUCCUGGAUA
rnacentral:lncRNA from 1 species